GGAUUUAGCUCAGUGGUAGAGAGCUUGCCUAGGAAGCGCAAGGCCCUGGGUUCGGUCCCCAGCUCCGAAAAAAAGAACAAAAAAAAAAAAAAAAAAAAAAAAGAAAAGAAACAACAACAAAAACCAUCCUGCCUUGAAACUUGCAGUGCACCAGUGUAUCACAUGCUAUAUACACUAUUGAAAACAACUUUUCUUGCAAACGCUCAUUUCAUUGAAUCAUUGGUCUGGUUCAAAGCCUCUGGCUUCUGUUCCACCAUCAAUACUGGAUCCUCGUUGGGAAACAUUCAAACAUUUUGUUGUUGCCUUAGGUCAUGGAGAUCUUACAGCUUUGGAACAGCAGCACUGGUCUCUUCACAUGCUCCAGGAGUUCUAGGGUGGAGCCCUCUCUAGGGGGAUAAUACUCAGGCUCACUUCCUGCUCUCAGCUGUGCAUCUGACAGCCUGGCAGCCUGUGCAGAAGCCCCAGGAUCAGAGCUCACUCUCUCAGGCCACAGACGGGUGUUAGAAGAUGGAAGGGAGCAGCCUCAGCCCCAGGUUCCUGCCCUGUGUGAGUUCCUGUCCUGACUUCCUUUGGUGAUGAACAGCAAUGUGGAAGUGUUGACUAUUUGGGAUCCUUGGUCUGCCAAGUCUAGAAGCUAUGCUCUGAAGUUGGACAGCUUACCUGUAUGGCUGUUUGAUCGGUGAGGCUAUAAGUAGGCCAGAUGGGGUUGCUUGCUAUUAUGUGCUUGGUUGGGUAGAGACAACCAUACUUUGCUAUGACAUAGAGACAACACACUGUCCUGGGGAAUAGACAGACAGGCACUGUGGCCAUACCGGACUGCUGCUAGGCAGGAACCAUAAGUGCCUUCCCUGGAGAGGUAGAGGCACAGGCUGCCUGGGCAGAGCAGAGCAGCUGACUGUGCUCUCCCACUGAGUACCUCUGAUAGUGGAGACAGGGCUGCACCCCCAUCUUAUCAUCCUGCCCUGUUUGUUCUUUUCAUGGCCUCCUGAGUCCUUCGGUGUUCUUCAUUGAGC
rnacentral:lncRNA from 1 species